rnacentral:rRNA from 1 species
CCGCACAAGCGGUGAGCAUGUGGUUUAAUUCGAAGCAACGCGAAGAACCUUACCAGGUCUUGACAUCCCCUGACAACCCGAGAGAUCGGGCGUUCCCCCUUCGGGGGACAGGGUGACAGGUGGUGCAUGGUUGUCGUCAGCUCGUGUCGUGAGAUGUUGGGUUAAGUCCCGCAACGAGCGCAACCCUCGACCUUAGUUGCCAGCAUUCAGUUGGGCACUCUAAGGUGACUGCCGGCUAAAAGUCGGAGGAAGGUGGGGGAUGACGUCAAAUCAUCAUGCCCCUUAUGACCUGGGCUACACACGUGCUACAAUGGGCGGUACAAAGGGUCGCGAACCCGCGAGGGGGAGCCAAUCCCAAAAAGCCGCUCUCAGUUCGGAUUGCAGGCUGCAACUCGCCUGCAUGAAGCCGGAAUCGCUAGUAAUCGCGGAUCAGCAUGCCGCGGUGAAUACGUUCCCGGGCCUU